UGCUUUAUACAUAGGUAUAAAGGAAGAGCAUUGUUGUCAAGCUUUCCAGCAGAAUAUCUUUCAAGAUUUCUCGC
rnacentral:sRNA from 17 species